rnacentral:snoRNA from 1 species
UGCGAAGAUGAUUUCUUGAUAGGGACAACAGAUUUAAUUAUGUUGAAAAAAAAUCGGGAAAAGAUAGUAGAUAUAUAUUGCUGA